UUAAAAAGAGAUCUUACAGUAGUAAUUGCAUGCAACUUAAAACUUAUAUGGUUGUGUUUAUUGGUUUCACUUGUUAGAAGCUCUUUCACUCUCGUUUUGGGGGGAAAAUUAUCAUGCUUAUUUUCUCAUUAGUGACUGAUUGGUGAUGAACCAGAUGCCAAUCCAAACAGCACAAACAGAAGAACAUCAAAACCAAUAUAGUUUGCUGCAAUAACUGCAGACGGGUAGAAAGAAAAAGAAAUUAUCAAAUUCAACAACAGCAGAUCAGAAAUUGGAUUUUAUCAAGGCUGAGGAGCAUAAACCUGUCGAUGACACCGUUGAUUCUUUUCAUGUAAUUAUC